GAUGAACGCUGGCGGCGUGCCUAAUACAUGCAAGUCGAGCGAACGGACGAGAAGCUUGCUUCUCUGAUGUUAGCGGCGGACGGGUGAGUAACACGUGGAUAACCUACCUAUAAGACUGGGAUAACUUCGGGAAACCGGAGCUAAUACCGGAUAAUAUUUUGAACCGCAUGGCUCAAAAGUGAAAGACGGUCUUGCUGUCACUUAUAGAUGGAUCCGCGCUGCAUUAGCUAGUUGGUAAGGUAACGGCUUACCAAGGCAACGAUGCAUAGCCGACCUGAGAGGGUGAUCGGCCACACUGGAACUGAGACACGGUCCAGACUCCUACGGGAGGCAGCAGUAGGGAAUCUUCCGCAAUGGGCGAAAGCCUGACGGAGCAACGCCGCGUGAGUGAUGAAGGUCUUCGGAUCGUAAAACUCUGUUAUUAGGGAAGAACAUAUGUGUAAGUAACUGUGCACAUCUUGACGUUACCUAAUCAGAAAGCCACGGCUAACUACGUG
rnacentral:rRNA from 1 species